rnacentral:rRNA from 1 species
UACAGAGGGUGCAAGCGUUAAUCGGAAUUACUGGGCGUAAAGGGUGCGUAGGUGGUUUGUUAAGUUGGUUGUGAAAUCCCUGGGCUUAACCUAGGAAUUGCAGUCAAUACUGGCAAGCUAGAGUAGAAUAGAGGGUAGUAGAAUUUCCGGUGUAGCGGUGAAAUGCGUAGAUAUCGGAAGGAACACCAGUGGCGAAGGCGACUACCUGGAUUCAUACUGACACUGAGGCACGAAAGCGUGGGGAGCAAACAGG